CCUACGGGAGGCAGCAGUGGGGAAUAUUGCACAAUGGGCGAAAGCCUGAUGCAGCAAUGCCGCGUGCGUGAUGACGGCCUUCGGGUUGUAAACCUCUUUUACUUCCGAUGAUACUGACAUGACCUGAGGAACAAACUACGGACCGGUCCACUACGUGCCCCCCGCCGCUACGAAGGGAGCUAGCCGAGCGUUGUCCGGAAUUAUUGGGCGUAAAGGGCUUGUAGCUAUUCCGUCCGUCUGAAGUGAAAACUCAUGGCUUAACCCUGACCUUGCUUCCUAUACAGCUAAACUCUUGGAAUGCUGAGUGGAAUUCAAUUCCUGGAGGAGCGGUGCAAUGAUCUUAUAUCAAGAAGAACACCGGUGGGCAACGCGGUUCUCUGGUAUUUUCCUGAAGCUGAGAAGCGAAAGCCAGGGGAGCAAACAGGCUUACAUACCCUGGUAGUCCACGCCGUAAACGGUGGGCACUAGGUGUGGGGAACAUUCCACGUUCUCCGUGCCGAAGCUAACGCAUUCCUGCCCCGCCUGGGGAGUACGGCCGCAAGGUUAAAACUCUUGGAAUUGACGGGGGCCCGCACAAGCGGCGGAGCAUGCUUAUUAAUUCGAUGCAACGCCUUAACCUUACCUGGGUUUGACAUAUACCAGAAAGCUGCACUUUGCUUCCCCCGCAAUGUCCGUAUACCAGUGGCGCAUGGCUGUCCUCAGCUCCUGGCCUGAAAAGUUGGGUUAAAUCCCCCCACCAGCGGCACCCUUCUCCUAUGUUGCCAGUCGAUAAUGUCGGGGAUCCAUAGGAGACUGCCGUGAUCAGCUCGAAGAAGGGGGGAAUGACGCCAGUCUCAUGCCCCUUAACGCUGGGCUUCAUCUUGCUACAUGGCUGGUACAAGGGCUGCACUACUGCAGGUUACUAUCUCCAAAAGCCGUCCAUUUCGACUGUCGUUCACUUACCUAUGAGCCGACUCCUCCUAAUCCGAAUCUAUGCUCCCCGAAUAUUCCGGG
rnacentral:rRNA from 1 species